UGGCACCAUCCAGCCCCGCAGACACUGUGAGCAGCACCACGACCACCAUGAGGACAUCCCAGGGGACCUCACAGGGAAAAGAAGACUCUGCUGCUGGUGGUCAGGGGUGAUGGAGUCAACACUGAACGAGAUCCCACAUGGUUGCAUGGAGCAGACCAGGAGCCAGCAAUGGCAGAAAGAGAGAGAAAAUGAUCCUGAUUCAAAGCAGCAUCGAAAUACAAGGCUCUGCCAGAUGUUACAUAAACAAUGAUGUAAUGCCAAAGUAUUUCAUUACACAUGCAGCUCUGUUCUUCAGCCCAGAAGUGAUUUAUUACAUUUUGUCAAUCCCAUUUUAUGUACCCACAUCAUUUUUACAUCAUUUUUCUUCAUGACAUUGUUACAUUCUCACAGAAGCGCAUAGAGAUAACAUGAUAACAGUGCAGGCAAUGAAGUUAGCAUUUUACAAAUAAUGUUACUAAUAAAUAAGUAUACCAGUGAGGGGGAAAUGGUCUGUCUGAGAGAGUGAAAAGCAAAUUUACCUUUGAAUAAUCUGAUGGGGGGAAGAGGCCAUAGUUCCAACAAGAAAACCGAGGUUGUAUCCUCUUGAAGCAUCUUCUGCCUUCAUGCAGAACAGUGAGAAAAUGCCUCUCUUGCCUGUUUUCGGCUUAAUCUCACAUUCUCUUUGUUUUCCUAAUGUGUUCUGUGUGCUGCCAGCUAGAUACGAUACACCAGCUUCUUGGUCGGAAAGAUUCAUCAGCGGGUGCAAGAAGAUCAGCACUUAAAAUCUGUUUUGACCCUGAAAUUAUCAAUCCUUAGGAUACAUUAGCCUUUUUUUUUGUUUGUUUUUCUGAUCUUCCACCAAGAUUUGUUAGAAAAAGCACACACAGCAACAUCACUUGAUACAAAGAGAAAAGGAAUUCCAGAAACAAUAAGAUGAAAAGAUAUAAAGGUUGUGCCAAAAUAACGCAGCAGGAUGCUUAAAAGAUGCAGUCCUACAGGAAUAUGGUUAAAGAAAAUAACCCAUCUGAUGAGCUGGAUGCCAAAAAUCCUGUUAGAUGACUGAAGCAGAGAAGAUGCCUUUCUAGCAGGCAGCCAUUAAACUGCAUAAUGCAAAAUGAUGCAGAGAGAAGCUGCAGUUGGUAAUAAUUUGAAAUGUCCUCGUUCCAAGCAGCACAGGGCCAAAUACUGCUUUUGCUAUGUCACUAAAAAAUAAAAGAAAUUUGAAAUGCCAUUUUAAAUGUUAUGUCCCUCUUUGACACGUAAAAGGCAUUUUUCUCUUUUAAGCAGAGUCUCUGCAAGACAGUAUUUGUUACUCGGUGGUUAAGGUAAGUGUCAGCAGAAUACUUAAGUAUAUGCUUAAUUCUUACUAAUUUCAGUGGUGAAGCACAUGCUCAGAGAUUUGGCUAAAGCAAAGCUUCCUUCUCCCUUUCUUUGUGAUAUGCUUGGGCCCUAUUCCAAAGCCCAUUCAAAGUUGUCUGGGGCCACCCACUGACUGCAUUGUAUCCUGGAUUUCAAUGCAGAGUACUCAGCCUACCCCAAAGCAUCAGUGUUUUGCAGAGAAAAUUCUAUGCUUACAAAUAGCUGAGUGUUUCCAGGACCUGGAUGGCAAAAGUAAGCUGUUUAGAAGGGAAACUUUGCCUUCUGCUCCAGGACACCUUUCAGUAGAUGUCUGGUCCACAGCUACUCUUAUUGUCUAAAGUCAGUGUACAGAUAAGCUGGGGUUUAUUUUCACUCCCUGCAUGUGUUUCAGACUAUUCCUAACUAACACUGUGGUUGUGCUAGCAGGCUGGGACUCGUUUCUGUUCCUCAGCUGAUGAAAAUCAACUUUCCACUGAAGGUAAGCAGAGAGUAGAGGUGGAAAAACUUCAAGAUACCACACCUUUUCCAUCUUCGGUUAACGUUAGAUCUUGCCAAGCAGCAUCUUUUUAAAAAAAUCAAACCUUUCUACAGUUACUGUUUAUUUACUCACACAACACAGAUUCAAACAGCCACAGUACCGCCAUUAGUUCAGAAGAGGAGUAUGUGGGCAAAGGCAGGCACAGAAAAGAGAAAGGACUUGCCAAGGCCAUGCAGAAGAUGAAUGACAGAGCCAGAAACAAAGCCAGGUCUCCCAAACCCCUAGCUACUACAGUGAAACUCCAACAGAGAGCAGAGCUUAUCUCUUCAUGGAAAAUGCUAAUGGAUAGUUUUGGAUGUUCAGUCUCUUGGCCGGAAUGCAUCUCCAGGUGCUCAGCGGCAGGUGCCUCAGCUGCAGGUGAGGCAUCAAGAGACCAGUUAGAAGGCACGUUUCUGGCAGGGGCAUGAAGAGCCCACAGACUCUCUCACCUUACUUCAGGUCCAGUGAAGGUGGCCUAAAUGGGAUACACUCCCCUCUCAUGUUCAGAGGUGUAAAUGGAGAGUGAUGUGGGCAAGGUCCAUGCGAGAUUAUCUGCCAUUCAGUGAAUCCAGCUCCUCCAGUAACAAUGUUGUGGGCACAGGAAAGCCAGGGUUUGAGUCUCACUUCUACAACACGCCAUACUGAAUGAAAUGCAAAGGUAUCAGGAGAAACUAGAGGGCUCUCUCUGAAGUUUAGCAUGGAUGAGUAGACCUAUACAGAAAACAGGAACUGCAGACCUAAGAAAGAUAUGCACAAAGCUGCAUUGGCUAAAAGUCUGAGUCUUAAGUGUUUUAAAAAUGUAUCAGGAUGGAAGGCAGCGCACUGAGUCAUGUUAUAGGCACCAUAUAUCAAGGCUAUUCACAUAAAGCUUUCUUGAUACUUUCCCUCUUCUACAGGUCAUAUCUGCCAAAGCAUACAUGUAAACAUCAGUAACAUUAUAAAAGCCAAUGCAUAUUUUAAGAUCCAGUCCUACUAAAGGUUAAAUACAAAUAUACGUAACAGGGAAAUCAAUUGGAUCUUGGAAACAUAAUGAAGGAGAUCAUGGAAACAGCAACUGCUUAGUGUCGCUUAGGACCAGCAACACCAAAAAUGAUAAGCGUGGAUUGCUUAUAUUAAUAAAUAAAUAUUAAUCUUGUCCCGCUCAAAGACCAUAGAACAUACUUCCCAUGUCCACCUGCACUUCUUGAGAAUGUGAGAUAAAA
ensembl:lncRNA